rnacentral:rRNA from 1 species
UACGUAGGGUGCAAGCGUUAAUCGGAAUUACUGGGCGUAAAGCGUGCGCAGGCGGUUUUGUAAGCCAGAUGUGAAAAGCCCCGGGCGUCAACCUGGGAACGUGCGUUGGAAACUAGUCGGGCGUAGAGUGUAGAAGAGGGGGUAGGAAUUCCACGUGUAGCAGUGAAAUAGCGUAGAGAUGUGGAGGAAUACCGAUGGCGAAGGCAGCCCCUCGG